UACGUAGGGUCCGAGCGUUGUCCGGAAUUAUUGGGCGUAAAGAGCUCGUAGGCGGUUUGUUGCGUCGGCCGUGAAAACCUGCAGCUUAACUGUGGGCCUGCGGCCGAUACGGGCAGACUUGAGUUCGGUAGGGGAGACUGGAAUUCCUGGUGUAGCGGUGAAAUGCGCAGAUAUCAGGAGGAACACCGGUGGCGAAGGCGGGUCUCUGGGCCGAUACUGACGCUGAGGAGCGAAAGCGUGGGGAGCAAACAGG
rnacentral:rRNA from 1 species